rnacentral:rRNA from 1 species
UACGUAGGGCGCAAGCGUUGUCCGGAAUUAUUGGGCGUAAAGAGCUCGUAGGCGGUUCGUCGCGUCGGCUGUGAAAUCCCGAGGCUCAACCUCGGGUCUGCAGUCGAUACGGGCGGACUGGAGUUCGGCAGGGGAGACUGGAAUUCCUGGUGUAGCGGUGAAAUGCGCAGAUAUCAGGAGGAACACCGGUGGCGAAGGCGGGUCUCUGGGCCGAUACUGACGCUGAGGAGCGAAAGCGUGGGGAGCGAACAGG